rnacentral:rRNA from 1 species
CUGGCCUCAAAUCAGGUGGGAUUACCCGCUGAACUUAAGC